CACAACUCAACAUCAAGCCCAGGCCUCCAAGAAAGAAGGCUGAGCAGAAACACUAAGCCUCCCGGAAGGAAAUCAAGCCUUCAGAAGAAAGGUUCAUUCAAGAGGAAGCCACCGAGGAGAGCCAGCAAGCACAGCCGCUCGCUGAGGAGAGAAGAGAAGGCACUGGCUGAGCUCCUCACACGCCAUACCCUAUGGCACCAGGCAUCGGGGCAUCCACACGUGGGUUUCCAACAGCAGGGUCCUGUGGGGCUGCCGAUCUCACUAACCCUAAACCACCUCCUGAAUGACACGUCCCAGACACAGCUGUGAGCCAUGGGCCCCUAAGAAGCAGAGCAAGAAGAGGCAGAGUGGGUGGAACUCCUGAAAAGGGACAGGCACCACCUCCCUUGCACCAGGACAGGACUGCAUGAGGGGCUGGAGGAUGGAAAACCCUGAAGGGAAGCAGGCGCGCUUAUUCUUCAUCUUUACGGUGUUCUCACUCUCUAAGAAACAUUGCAGAUGGACCCACCCCAUCACCACAGAUGCAGUAACCCACCUGAUUUUUGCAUCAGGGACAGUGUCACAUCAUAAAAUGCACGUGUGCAUUCAUUCAUGCAUUCAACCUGUAAAUGCCACAUCGUUUUUGUUUUGACAAUUUUCUAACAUCUUUACUAGCUGAUGCACCACAGCUCCCUAGCUUCUCUCUCUCUCACAGGACUACAUUAUUCUGAGUAAAUUGAAGCCAAGACAGACUGACCAUAGGUGCGUCUUUCCUAGGGCCUCAUCGGCCAGCACCAGGAAUCUGCACUCACUGGGUCUGGCCUCAGUGAAGAGCUAGCGGUCAUGGUAACCCCAGUCAAGAGCAACAGGAGGUCUCCAGCUGUCCCUGAAGUGUCCCAGCUGGGUCUACAAGGCUGCCAUGCAGAGUGACCAUGCACUGGCCAUGGCUCCUACAGGCUGCAUAAUGCCUCUGUCCCCGCAGCAGCCUAAAGCAUGACCGCCUGUGUCCUAACAAAGCUGCAGCAAGCAUUUCAUCAGCGCCUUUCAGAUUCGAGGAACACAUACGGAGCACGCGGCAUGGGGUGAUACCCAGGGACACUAACGCGGCCAGGAGGAGCGAGACAGAGGCGAAAGCCAGGCACCGUCUGGCAGCUGUCUCGCUGUGUUUGAGUGUUCUUCUCCCCAAAUAGAAAUGAAAGUCUCUUCAAACCAGAUGCAACAGUAAAGUGGUCCAAUUUUGCUUGCCGGGAACGAACAAGGAAUGGCGAUGGCCACCCGGCAAGUCCCCUCUUCUGGAGCACAGAGCACCAACUCCGGCCAUUGCUGGGGCACAGUUCAAGUGUCCAGUCUCUUCAAAGACCUGAGUCCCACGACAACCCUCUAGGGGAUUUCUACCUGGACCAAGGCAACCCAGACCCCGAGCAGCUGCCACACACAGGUCAGGAGCAUCCCUCAAAGUCAGCACUGAGGGCCAGGUGUGGUGGCUCACGCCUGUAAUCCCAGCACUUUGGGAGGCUGAGGCGGGUGGAUCACGAGGUCAAGAGAUCGAGACCAUCCUGGCUAACACGGUGAAACCCCAUCUCUACUAAAAAUACAAAAAUUAGCUAGGCAUGGUGGCAUGCACCUGUAGUCCCAGCUCCUCGGGAGGCUGAGGCAGGAGAAUCACUUGAACUUGGGAGGCGGAGGUUGAAGUGAGCCGAGAUUGUGCCACUGCACUCCAGCCUGGCAAAGCAAGACUCCGUCUUAAAAAAAAAAAAAAAAAAAAAAAAGCACUGAACAGGAGGGUGGGGUGGAAACUGACUUGCUGGGAGCAGUCCCUGUACCAGGGCUGGUUCAGCUUUUCCCACCCUCUCCCUUCAACCAAGAUCUGUCAGUCAAAGCAAAAGCAGUCUAUGUGCCUAAUGUCAACUAACACUCUCUUGGCUCAAGUGCUCAGGCAGCAAAGUUCAGAGGCCCCACCUCCUGCGCGUCAAAAAUUCCAGAGCCAUCUACAGGAAGACAGGACAAGGCCAACCUCAGGGAACGCUAUCGGCAUUCAAGGACUUCACGCAACAGGGGCUUAUCAGAUAGUGAACAUGCCAGGCCCUGUGUCAGAUGCUGAGGACAUCACAAGGGGAAGAACACUGAGAAGAGGCCUUCGACCCGGACUCUUUGGUCUUCAUUGGUAGCUAAGAUCUCCUUCGGCAGACUCAAAAAGACCUCGUGAACUAAGUACCCAGAAAGUGCGCUGGAAGCCCCCCAGUGGGAAUUGGGAAAUGGGCCUUCUACAGGCUCAGAGGGUCCCUCUCCACCCUUCGCUUUCACACAGGCACUGAACGCCUAACGUCACGAUGCCAAAGAAAUGGACGAUCCUACAGUCGUCUACAUCAGCAGCAAGAAAUCAUUUUGGUUACAGUCACUUGAGUCUUAGCUAACCCUCAUUAGAGUCUCAUUAUUUAAGUGUCAAUGGUAUAAUAGGACAGUUCUAUAUUAACUAGAAUGGUUUAAAAAUCAUGACACCCUAUUUCCCAGCAUUUCUGAAUGGCAAAAUGUUUACUGCUCACUGGUGUAUGUGUUUAGUUGUUGUUUAGGUAAACUGAGCCAAUAAUAAACAUAUAUUAUUGGUCGUUCUCCUCCAUUAAACUAUGUUUGAUCUUUCCUCUGUAAAUCCCCCAUAGUAGUAGUCACUGUGUACUUUCACACAUUUCAAAUGCAAUAUGUACACAUGUAUGCAUAUAUACACAGAUAAUAUCCAAAUACAUAUGUACACAAACACACUCUGGGUUGUGGUAUUUAAAUACACACACACAUACAUAUCACAUGUAUAACUUUUUAAUUUCUAAAAACAAUACUUAGUCUCAUUAUUUGAAAUACAUUUUCUCUUCCCUUCUGUCAGAGAUCACUUCUUUAGUGCUGGCUGUGGUCUCCGCUCCUGCAGAGUUCUAGCCUCCCAGUGGAACCUGCCGACGCCCUGAGGAAGGAUCCCUCGCAGCACAACCAUGCAGGGUCCAGAAAGCAGAAAGCAGCUAACUGCAUUCCGCUCUAGCCAAACAGAACUCACCCCAUCUGUAUCAUCUACGCAUAAACUUUGCAAAUAAAGUCCUGGAUCCAGUACUCUGAAAUAACUUAAUGAAAACACAUUCUACUGCUAAAGUACCUUUGCCUUGGCUUCCAGUGCUGUGAUACACUUGUACGCGGUAAUGCAAAUAGGCCUGGAACGAGCAUACUUUGCCCUCUCGACCCGGCCAAUUCAGACUCUACACAUCUGUAGUGAGCCCCAAGGUUCUACAUUUCCUUUUCUUUUUUUCCUUUUCUUUUUUUUUUUUUAAGAGACAGAGUCACCCAG
rnacentral:lncRNA from 10 species